AUGGAGCGGGAGACGCCGGAGGCCGCGCCACCGCCGACCUUUCUCCGCGGGGAGGAGGCGUCGUCGGGGUCAUCGUCGGCGCGCGCGCGGUUCGAGCGCCUGAUCCGGCGGGUGCAGGCGGAGGUGUGCGCGGCGCUCGAGGCAGUCGAGGAGGGCAGCGGCAGCGGUGGCGUGGUGUUUCGGGAGGACGCGUGGACGCGCCCGGGCGGGGGCGGCGGUAUCAGCCGCGUGCUGCAGGGCGGCCGCGUGUUCGAGAAGGCCGCCGUGAACGUGUCCGUCGUCUACGGAGUCAUGCCCCCAGACGCGUACCGCGCGGCGAGGCCCGACGCGGCGGCGGACGCGGAGAAGGCCGGGCCCGUGCCCUUCUUCGCUGCCGGCGUUAGCUCGGUUAUCCACCCAAACAAUCCCUUCGCGCCAACAUUGCAUUUCAACUACAGAUAUUUCGAGACAGAGGCACCGCAAGAUAUUACUGCUGCAGAUGCUCCUGGAGCACCCAGGCAGUGGCGGUUUGGAGGUGGUACUGACUUGACACCAUCGUACAUCAUCGAAGAGGAUAUCAAACAUUUUCAUUCUGUUCAAAAACAAGCAUGCGAUAAGUUUGAUCCAACCUUCUACCCAAGAUUCAAAAAAUGGUGCGAUGAUUAUUUCCGUAUCAAGCAUCGUGGUGAACGCCGUGGGGUGGGCGGAAUAUUCUUUGAUGAUCUCAGUGACCAUGAUCAAGAAACUCUUCUUGACUUCUCGACAGAGUGUGCGGCCUCUGUAAUUCCUGCAUACAUCCCCAUCAUAGAACGUCGGAAAGAUACCCCAUUUACAGAAGACCACAGGGCAUGGCAGCAGCUACGGAGAGGUCGCUAUGUGGAAUUCAACCUCGUCUACGAUCGUGGCACCACAUUUGGCCUCAAAACUGGAGGAAGGAUUGAGAGUAUCCUUGCUUCCCUCCCUCUGACCGCACGGUGGGAGUAUGAUCAUAAACGGCAAGAAGGGACUGAAGAAUGGAAACUUCUCGACGUGUGCAUCAAUCCAAAGGAAUGGAUCUGA
rnacentral:rRNA from 1 species